rnacentral:sRNA from 1 species
GUUGGCCAAAAUGAUUGGUCACAUCUUUGAGAUGAACGAUGAUGAUCCACACAAAGAGGAGGAAAUUCGGAAAUACAGUGCAAUAUAUGGCAGAUUUGACUCAAAGAGGAAGGAUGGGAAACAUCUCACACUUCAUGAGGAUGGGUUUCCAGAUUUCCAGGAUUCUGUGCAAACACUCUUCCAGCAGGCUAGAGCUAAGAGUGAAGAACUUGCAGCUCUUAGUUCACAG